GGAGAGGUGACCGAGUGGCUUAUGGUGCCGCUCUCGAAAAGCGGUGGGCAGCAAUGCCUCGUGGGUUCGAAUCCCACCCUCUCCG
rnacentral:tRNA from 1 species